rnacentral:misc_RNA from 1 species
GAAAUGCGAUACGUAAUGUGAAUUGCAGAAUUCCGUGAAUCAUCAAAUCUUCGAACGCACCUGGCGCCUUCGAGUAAUCGGAGGCAUGCCUGUUUCAGUGUCAUGAAAACCCUCAACCUUAGAUUGGUUAAAACCUUUCUUUGGCUUGGAUUUGGACGUUUGCCGAUGAUAAGUCGGCUCGUCUUAAAAGGAAUAGCUGGAUCUGUCUCGCGACAUGGUUUGACUUGGCGUAAUAAGUAUUUCGCUAAGGACAUCUUCGGAUGGCCGCGUUGCAAGACUAAAGACCGCUUUCUAAUCCAUUGAUCUUCGGAUUAAUAUUCUUGACAUCUGGCCUCAAAUCAGGUAGGACUACCCGCUGAACUUAA